CCGCAUUUGAAAGGUAGUCUUUAGAGAUUUCCAGAAUUUUUUGAACAAGUGGAGGUGGCUCACCUCCAGCAUAGUUAUUAUUCCCAGCACUAGUAUCCAUAGAAGCUAUAUCAAAAGGGAUCAAUACAAGAAUGUAGAGCCACAAUAGUAUCACACACUUUGCCUCCAUCUCUCCAGUACUUUCUUGUCGUAAUGAUGUUCCAGCUUGUGUAUUAUGGCAUUUCUCCAGGAGAGAUACUGCAAGCUCCAGGUCAGAAACCUGAUGAGGGAAGAACUUGACAACAGCCUUGUAGCCACAGACUGUCACCAGAGAAUAUAUUAUGAUACACACAGGCUUAAUUACUUCAAGAAUCUCUUCCGAGGCAGCAGCUUGUUCGACAGCUUUUGAACGGACAAUGGACAUUAGGGGCGAAACCAUACUCUCGAGGUAAGGCUCCAGUAAUUGACCUUGCUCCUGAUAUUUGUCCAUCUGCAAAUCAUAUUUUAAACAAAUAAUUAAUGUACUACCAAAGAAAAAAUAUUUUUUAUAAAAUUUGCAUUAGCUCUAAGCAACUGGUGUUUUAGGAAUUCUGAAAGCAAAGUACUCAAUCAUUAAGUACUUUUAAGAGUUUGGACUUGGCAUCAUCAAGAGUGUAGUGUCCUACAUCAACAUGAGUAAAAGAUGAGCAGAAAUUUGAAACAAUACAUUCUUCAAAUUUCUUCUCAACAAAUACAUCUCUUCACAGUCCCCUCUCAAAAAACUAAAUCUCUCCACAGUUCCUCUACAAGCUCACUUUUAGACUUAGACAUCAAGACCAGCAAAAUUCAGAUCUUUUCUCGCCGAUGAAUCAUCAUAUUAGUUAAUCAUACAAACAGCUAAGAAGUCCCACAUCGGUAGAGGGAUGGGAAUUUGGUCUCGUUAUAUGGACUUGGACAAACCUCCCCUCUUGAGCUAGCUUUUGAGGUUGAGUUAAGUCCAGGUGUCAUAUCUUUACAUGGUAUUAGAGUCAGGUGCAUCCCAAUUUGUUGUUCACCGAUGUUAGGCCCCCAUUUAGAAAUGUUCACGCUCCAGUUGAGGUCUGGCCGUGCGGGGGAGUGUUAAGAAGUCCCACAUUGGUAGAGGGAUGGGAAUUUGGUCUCCGUUUAUGGACUUGGACAAACCUCCUCUCUUGAGCUUGCUUUUGAGGUUUAGUUAGGCUCAGGUGUCAUAUCUUUACACAAACAAAUUGUCCUUAACACACAAAAUAAAAAAUGCUUCCUGCAAUUCAAUAUAGAAGGUGGUGUUCGAUUGAACUUGGAAUUUAAGAAAUAGAGUAAGACUUUUCACUCAUAAGCAAAAUAUAUAGUCCUACAAAAAGUAUCCUCGGAACUAGUGGUCUUCAACAUGCCAUAUUAAUUUGCAUAAGAGCAUGUCAUUAAGGGCAAGGUAGAAAUGCUAAUACAACAAACUUCCAAAUAUAAAUAGGAGUCGAUCUUUUAAGAGAGAUCAAGGAUGUAUGACUGUCAUAUAAAAUAGAAAAGAGAGCAUAAUUAUCAAGCUUGAAGUUCAGUAACAUUCUUCAGUCACAAAUGUAGUUUUACAGUUCCUUUAGAAGCUUAGUUUCUAAUCAAAUCACACAAAGUUUAAAUCUUUGGUCUAAAUAUAUUGCCCAACACCCUUCGGGGUGGCCCAGUGGUUUGAGCUUGGGACUUCCAUGUUGGAGGUCGCACCUGGCUUGCCUAGUGCAGGUUAACUCUCUUGUGUGGUUUGCGAGCUAUUGUAUAGGAGCGGGGGUUUUACCCUGUGCGCACCCAAAGGGUAGCGGCUGCGGGUUUCCCUUGUCAUAAAAAAAAAAUAUAUAUUGCCCAACAAUAACAACAUCCAGAAUUAUUCCCCAAUCUCAAACUAGUUGCAGUUGGCAAUAUAAGUCCCCUAUAUCUAAUAUGCUCCAUCUAUGUUUCUUUCAUUCAACUAUUCAAUUGUUUGUCGUAUAGGACAAAUUAGGAAUAAAUUAAGACGAAAAGUAUUUUUUAAAAUCUGAUGCCUUUUCUUAGACUGUAAUACAGUCUUUAACCAAACUUAAAAAACUCCAUCAAGCACCAAACCAAUGUAAAUGUGCUAAUAACAAAAUAUCCCGAUCCCAACUAGUCGGGAUUGCCUAUCCAUACAUUCCUCCUGAAUCAUAUCUUACCCUUUACUAAGUACGCAAUGAUCCCAAGAAAUUGAGGUACUUUAAGACAACUUACUUCCAUCAUGUGAUCUGUCAUGUACACAUGUUCCCUUUUAACACCUUUAAUCAUCACGGUGUCACACCAAUGGGUCAAUGUCCUUGGAAGUCUACGUAAGACACAAUUAAAGCAUCUCACAUAACCUCUCACUUUUUGCUCUAUAUGUGCUAUUGUACAUCAUGUUAAUCUUUUCUAAUCUUGUACGAUCACACGUCAUCUUAACAUUCAUAUUUUUGCAUUACUCGUCUUGGAUACAUUAGGCACUUAGGCCUUGGAGGCCAAAUCUCACUUCACAUAGUAUCAUUAGGCUCCCAACCAUUCUAUAUAACUAGUAUUUCCUUUAGAUAUGUAUCCUCUUAUCACAUAAAUCCAUCCUACUCUAGCUCUCUGUGUUUUUCAUCUUUCAUGCCAUUCUGAGGAUGAGCCAAAAUAUCUGAACUAUUUGCAUUUCUAUUAUCAAACAACCAAAAAAAAAUUAAAAAACCAAAGUUAAAUUUUACAGGUAUUUCAAGUACAAGCAUAGC
rnacentral:lncRNA from 1 species